GUGCAGCAGGCGCGAAACCUCCGCAAUGCGGGAAACCGUGACGGGGUCACCCCGAGUGCCACCCGAAGAGGGUGGCUUUUCCCCGGUCUAAAAAGCCGGGGGCAAUAAGCGGGGGGCAAGUCUGGUGUCAGCCGCCGCGGUAAUACCAGCCCCGCGAGUGGUCGGGACGUUUAUUGGGCCUAAAGCGUCCGUAGCCGGCCCGGUAAGUCCCUCCUUAAAUCCACGGGCUCAACCCGUGGGCUGGGAGGGAUACUGCCGGGCUAGGGGGCGGGAGAGGCCGAGGGUACUCCCGGGGUAGGGGCGAAAUCCGUUAAUCCCGGGAGGACCACCAGUGGCAAAGGCGCUCGGCUGGAACGCGCCCGACGGUGAGGGACGAAAGCUGGGGGAGCAAAGGGGAUUAGAUACCCCGGUAGU
rnacentral:rRNA from 1 species